rnacentral:rRNA from 1 species
AGUGAACGCUGGCGGUAGGCCUAACACAUGCAAGUCGAACGGCAGCACAGUAAGAGCUUGCUCUUACGGGUGGCGAGUGGCGGACGGGUGAGGAAUACAUCGGAAUCUACUUUUUCGUGGGGGAUAACGUAGGGAAACUUACGCUAAUACCGCAUACGACCUACGGGUGAAAGCAGGGGAUCUUCGGACCUUGCGCGAUUGAAUGAGCCGAUGUCGGAUUAGCUAGUUGGCGGGGUAAAGGCCCACCAAGGCGACGAUCCGUAGCUGGUCUGAGAGGAUGAUCGGCCACAUUGGAGCGUGGACACGGUCCAGACUCCUACGGGAGGCAGCAGUGGGGAAUAUUGGACAAUGGGCGCAAGCCUGAUCCAGCCAGACCGCGUGGGUGAAGAAGGCCUUCGGGUUGUAAAGCCCUUUUGUUGGGAAAGAAAAGCAGCAGGUUAAUACCCCGCUGUUCUGACGGUACCCAAAGAAUAAGCACCGGCUAACUUCGUG